AGUGGGGAAUAUUGCACAAUGAGGGAAACCUUGAUGCAGCCAUGCCGCGUGUGUGAAGAAGGCCCGAGGGUUGUAAAGCACUUUUAGUAAGGAGGAAAGGUAAGUUGCUAAUAUCAGCUUACUGUGACGUUACUUACAGAAAAAGCACCGGCUAACUCUGUGCCAGCAGCCGCGGUAAUACAGAGGGUGCAAGCGUUAUUCGGAAUUACUGGGCGUAAAGCGCGCGUAGGCGGACUGUUAAGUCGGUUGUGAAAGCCCUGAGCUCAACCUAGGAACUGCAUCCGAUACUGGCAAUCUAGAGUUUAAGAGAGGCAAGGGGAAUUCCAGGUGUAGCAGUGAAAUGCGUAGAUAUCUGGAGGAACAACAGUGGCGAAGGCGCCUUGCUGGCUUAAAACUGACGCUGAGGUGCGAAAGCGUGGGUAGCGAACGGGAUUAGAUACCCCGGUAGUCCACGCCGUAAACGAUGUCAACUAGCUGUUGGUCUUAUUAAAAAGAUUAGUAGCGCAGCUAACGCACUAAGUUGACCGCCUGGGGAGUACGGUCGCAAGAUUA
rnacentral:rRNA from 1 species